rnacentral:rRNA from 1 species
UUAUGAAUAAGGAUCGGCUAACUCCGUGCCAGCAGCCGCGGUAAUACGGAGGAUCCGAGCGUUAUCCGGAUUUAUUGGGUUUAAAGGGAGCGUAGGCGGGUGCUUAAGUCAGUUGUGAAAGUUUGCGGCUCAACCGUAAAAUUGCAGUUGAUACUGGGUACCUUGAGUGCAGCAUAGGUAGGCGGAAUUCGUGGUGUAGCGGUGAAAUGCUUAGAUAUCACGAAGAACUCCGAUUGCGAAGGCAGCUCACUGGACUGCAACUGACACUGAUGCUCGAAAGUGUGGGUAUCAAACAGGAUUAGAUACCCUGGUAGUCCACACAGUAAACGAUGAAUACUCGCUGUUUGCGAUAUACAGUAAGCGGCCAAGCGAAAGCGUUAAGUAUUCCACCUGGGGAGUACGCCGGCAACGGUGAAACUCAAAGGAAUUGACGGGGGCCCGCACAAGCGGAGGAACAUGUGGUUUAAUUCGAUGAUACGCGAGGAACCUUACCCGGGCUUGAAUUGCAACUGAAUGAUGUGGAGACAUGUCAGCCGCAAGGCAGUUGUGAAGGUGCUGCAUGGUUGUCGUCAGCUCGUGCCGUGAGGUGUCGGCUUAAGUGCCAUAACGAGCGCAACCCUUGUUGUCAGUUACUAACAGGUUCCGCUGAGGACUCUGACAAGACUGCCAUCGUAAGAUGUGAGGAAGGUGGGGAUGACGUCAAAUCAGCACGGCCCUUACGUCCGGGGCUACACACGUGUUACAAUGGGGGGUACAGAAGGCAGCUACCUGGCGACAGGAUGCUAAUCCCAAAAACCUCUCUCAGUUCGGAUCGAAGUCUGCAACCCGACUUCGUGAAGCUGGAUUCGCUAGUAAUCGCGCAUCAGCCACGGCGCGGUGAAUACGUUCCCGGGCCUUGUACACACCGCCCGUCAAGCCAUGGGAGCCGGGGGUACCUGAAGUACGUAACCGCAAGGAUCGUCCUAGGGUAAAACUGGUGACUGGGGCUAAGUCGUAACAAGGUAGCCGUACCGGAAGGUGCGGCUG